rnacentral:lncRNA from 1 species
UUCAAUAUCUGAAUGUAUAUAAUUUUUCUAUUUUAAACAUAACAAAUAUAAAAUUCAGAAAAUGUGAUUAAAACUUAUCCAACAAAUUAGUAAUAAACUCAAAACUAGUUCUAACAUAAAUGUCCAAAUAUUAGAGUAUUUGAAUAACUAAUUAUUAAUCAGAUCAAGUUUUAACAUUCAAACACCGAAAGAUAAUUUCAAAUAACUAAAACACAAAACUCUCAAGUAUUUCCUCUUCUUUGUAUUAGUUUGAGAACAAGUUGCUCGCGCAUGUCAUUCAUUAUUUGAGAAUUUUCAACCGUACAGCUAAGUCCAUCGUGCUAGAAAUCCGUGAGUGUUAGGAUAUGCCACAUCACAUAAAUAGUAUUUAUCUGACAUUAAACAAAAGAGUUAAGGGUGAUAAUAUUAAGGCAGGAUUACACUCAAUACAACGUUGUGUUUCAAAGAAUCAAACACAAAUGCAUUGUUCCAAAUUACCUUCACUCCAGCGUCUAUAUAUAUGUGUGUGUUUUCAAUUGGACUCAACUUUAAAGUUUCUCAUACAAAUUCCAUCAUAGCAAUUCUAAUAAAAAGUCAAACUUUUCACACUCCCUUUGCCAAAAUAUGUGCUGGAAUUUAUAAUACUAAGAGGGCAGAAGCACUUUCAGUGAAUUGAAGAAGAAGAAGAACAAAAAUCAGAUAUUAGAUUAUAAAAUUCAUAUACAUAUCACUGUACCAACUAAAUUUUAAUUCUUACCCAGAUAUUACAAUGAUAUUGAGAAUGAUUAUACACAUGCUAUAUUUCCAACAAUUAAAAUAUUGUUAAUCAAAUAGCGCCUAUCUUGCAAUUAUAAUACACCACCUAAUUCACAAUAUAUAGAUAUUUAUGAAGUUCUUUUGCACUUUAAUGAAUUAAAUUUGGAGAACAAAUUUUCACAGAGUUCUUUAUAAAAAUAAGUCAUCGCCAAAAAUAUAAUGAAUACGACAAAUUAACAGAUGAAAUACUUGUGAAAGUUUUGAAAUCUUACCAGUUCAAAGUCUUCAGGGGGAAAGGAUUUGGGUAGACGACUAAUAGUUGAAGAGAGAAAAGGUAAAGAGAGGAGUGAAAAAAA